rnacentral:misc_RNA from 2 species
ACGUAUCUCUGACGGGGCGGGUCGGCCCUGCUCGGGUCCGCGAGGGCCUUUGAAGCGGGUUGCCCGUCACGCUCAACCUCACAAACCCCACUGUGCACAUUCACGGCGGAGGGCGGCGGCGAGAGCCACUGCCCGAAGCCGCAUACCUAAACUCGAGUUCAAAAGAAUGAUCAGUGGCCUCUGUGCCGCCUAACAAACAUAA